UCAGUUCGGAUCGCAGUCUGCAACUCGACUGCGUGAAGCUGGAAUCGCUAGUAAUCGCGGAUCAGCAUGCCGCGGUGAAUACGUUCCCGGGCCUUGUACACACCGCCCGUCACACCACGAGAGUUUGCAACACCCGAAGUCGGUGAGGUAACCUUUAUGGAGCCAGCCGCCGAAGGUGGGGCAGAUGAUUGGGGUGAAGUCGUAACAAGGUAGCCGUAUCGGAAGGUGCGGCUGGAUCACCUCCUUUCUAAGGA
rnacentral:rRNA from 3 species